CUACGGGGUGCAGCAGUGAGGAAUAUUGCGCAAUGGGCGAAAGCCUGACGCAGCGACGCCGCGUGGAGGAUGAAGGUCUUCGGAUUGUAAACUUCUGUUAAGUGGGAAGAAAGACUCUCUUCUAAUAAAAGAGAGGGAUGACUGUACCAUUAGAGAAAGCACCGGCUAACUUCGUGCCAGCAGCCGCGGUAAUACGAAGGGUGCGAGCGUUAUUCGGAUUUAUUGGGCGUAAAGGGUGUGUAGGUGGUAAUCUAAGUCAGCUGUUAAAGAUCCCGGCCUAAAUGGGAAAAUGCGGCAGAUACUGGGUUGCUAGAGGAAGGAAGAGAGGAGUGGAAUUCUCGGAGUAGCGGUAAAAUGCGUGGAUCUCGAGAGGAACACCAAUGGCGAAGGCAGCUCCUUGGUCCUUUUCUGACACUGAAACACGAAAGCGUGGGGAGCAAACAGGAUUAGAUACCCCAGUAGUC
rnacentral:rRNA from 1 species